GCAGUCGCCACGGUAAUACGAAGGGUGCAAGCGUUAAUCGGAAUUACUGGGCGUAAAGCGUGCGUAGGCGGUGAGUUAAGUCUGCUGUGAAAUCCCCGGGCUCAACCUGGGAAUGGCAGUGGAUACUGGCUCGCUAGAGUGUGUCAGAGGAUGGUGGAAUUCCCGGUGUAGCGGUGAAAUGCGUAGAGAUCGGGAGGAACAUCAGUGGCGAAGGCGGCCAUCUGGGACAACACUGACGCUGAGGCACGAAAGCGUGGGGAGCAAACAGGAUUAGAUACCCCAGUAGUCCCUGUCUCUUAUAC
rnacentral:rRNA from 1 species